UUAAACGCGCCCGCUCCAUGCGCGAUAUUCGUAACGAAAGGGUAAGGGAGGAUUUCUCCCCCCUCUGAUCAGUUGUUAGUAAGUCGGGAAACUUAACAGUAACAACACAACCAGUAUGAUGACGAACUUCAUCAUAACCCUUUCCUUCUA
rnacentral:sRNA from 1 species